UUUGCAUCCUACUCAUCACGUGCCCCCACUCCUUAUAUCUUCUUCUGAUCGUUUUGGUUAAAGUCCUUUUUGCCAAAGAAGUAAUAUCUCAGCCGUAUAUACUUAAUCUAUUCAAAUUCCCACUGAUGCUCAUGCUAUUCAUCACUGAAAUCGGGGUUACUUCUUCGACAAAAUUUAGUAUAUCCUCUAAAUAACUAUAUUGGAGAGACACCGGCCGUUAGACUGUGGUCUCUGUCGUAAACAGCCAGAGCCAUUAGACAUCAAAUAAUAUUGGGGAGGCUAGCUAUGGAGCCGAUAGAUAUUGCUAUUGUUUUCUAUGCCUUUACAAUCGCCUGUUUCGUGUUCUGGGUUGUAAGAUUAUUUAUACGUCGGGCCAUUUGCAAUAACUCGAGAUAUAAAAACCACUGAAUAACCGAUCGGAACUAUUCACAUUAUGUCAUCACACGUGCAAAAACAGAACGGCUGCAGUAAGGUUGGCGCAAAUCGCAUUGAUUACGAAUGGCUCAUAGAAGAUUUUAAACUGUUCUCUCAAGGAAAUACGAAAUAUUCAUAUUCACCAGUCUUGCAUGCUAAUCUCUACCAGUCACAGAAGUUAAAGGAAUAUGUUGAGAUUCAUCGGAGACGAUCCUCUCAGUGUAAUCAAGUCGGAGAGCUCUGUAGUCAUUACUGCAAGGAAGGCAAAGGCUUGAAAUUUUUUACCUCAUCGAUGUUUAUGCCAAUUCAUUUGAAACACGCAUUCUUCGUCUUUUCUGUUUCUCCUCUGAAAAACGUUCUUUCUGUAUUUAUAACUUCAGAAUAAACAUUUUCAUUUUA